CCGAAGGACGGACGCUCGGGCGGAAGACACCAAGCAUUCACACAGCGAAUUGGCAAAAAAAUUUUCCCGCUGAUUUCAGUUAUCAACAAAGCGAGCAACAGUGAGGCACAACCGAAGCAACGGGCAGCCAAGCACACAGCGAGCGCAAAUAUAGUCAACUCGAGCAGACGUGAAAAGUCGAAAAAGACGGUGGAAAAGCGUCGAAAUUGUGUUGGCGUGUAACGGUUGACGAUUUCACGUAGAAAAGGCGGUUAGUGGAUUUCGGUGUGAUUUGCGGUUAAAUAUUUGCGAAUCACAAGUGAAGCAGAGAAAGUGUGACAAGUGAAAUUUUUGGUGAUUUGCUUUGCCGCUGCAAAAUAGCAAACUAAAAAGUUGAAGUCUCGAAAUAAUCCCAAAGCAGAGUAAAAAAUAUCAAAAUCUACAAAAAAUAAAAAAGAAAAAAAAAUUCCAAAAGCAAAGUUCCAAAGGUGAAAAAGUGUAAAAUAAAGUUCAACUGCAACGCCGAUUAAAAAAAAAGUCGAAAAAAAUCUGUCAAAAUUCGCGCAGGAAAAGCACGUCUUCGUCAGCAACAGCAACUAACCGUCAGCAGAUAAACGCUGUUGGGCUAGCGGAAACUGUGCUCCGAACAUCAGCUGUCAAAAACAACAAAUUGCAACAACAACAACAACGCUAAGUCAUAGCACAGCGCGGCGUGGUUAUAAUUUAAUAAACUUCGCCAACUCAAAUUCGUGAAAAUUUCGGGUA